rnacentral:lncRNA from 1 species
AUCUUGAAUAUUAUUAUAGAUAGAGAUAAACUGUAAACAGCAAUACUGUACAGCAAAGUAAGAACUAAAAAUAAGUCAGUAUGACCAAAAUAGUCAAUUGACCCCCUAAGGAGUUAUUGCCCUUCAUAGUCAAUUUUUAACAAUUUUUUUAAAAUUUGAAGAUUUUCAAUAACAUUUUCCACAGAAAGUACUGUUAUAGAUAGAAAAAAUUGUAAGCAGCAAGAAUGUUUAGUAAAGUAAGAUCUACAAACACAUCACCAUCACCAAAACACAAUUUUGUCAUGAAUCCAUCUGUGUCCAUUGUUUAAUAUGCACAUAGACCAAGGUGAGCGACA